UUUGCCGGCGCCCCCUGGACCGCGGAGAAGGAACCCCACGAAGCUGCCAUUUUUGUCGGUCAAAUUCAGGUGACAAGUUCACAUGAUGAGACACUCGUGGCAAUUUCUACAAUACUUAUGGACACAGAACUCAACUUCAAACAGGAUUCUUUACCCAGGAGUUGGCUUAAGAGUCUGUAUUUGUUAAUGUGCCAUGGAAUCUCCAAAAGAGGAUAAAAGAAUAAAACAUCCCUAACUUACUUA